UCGCCUUUUCCUGGUAUUUGGCCAAUACCAGAAAAUGGCCAGGAGA
rnacentral:precursor_RNA from 1 species